rnacentral:misc_RNA from 1 species
UUCUGUUUCCUCUUUCUGUUCGGACAACUAGCGCUCUCUUCAGGAGCUAUCAACGACAUAGAGUGUACCCACAGCCACCAUCGUCACCACGCCCGGGGGACGGCCUACUACCCUGCGGACGACCCUAUUGAGGGCGGGUUUGUGGACAUGCGCGACCACCCUCUUAUGACGCUUCAGGAUUAUUUGGAAGGACGCGCUGCCCACGUGAGCGUUGCUAUGGACAACCAUGCUGGAAUUCCUUAUGGAACUCACGUUUGCAUUCCGGAAUUAAACAGGAAAUACCAUAGAUUUAUUGAUUUUGUCGUAGUUGACACUGGAUCCGCCUUCUAUGGUAAGGGAUACAGCAGAAUAGACAUCUGCGUGCGCAACCGUCAGCUCUCCUUUGACGACACCAUCAAUGGUCCUCUUACUCUAGCCUUUCAUUAGAUAGUGUCAACGUGGUAAAAAAAUAAAUCAUUAUUGAAUCAG